UACUAUGGCUAUGCCACCCUGAAUGUGCCUGAUCUCGUCCGAUCUCUGAAGCUAAGCAGGGUCGGGCCUGGUUAGUACCUUGGAUGGGAGACCACCUAGGAAUACCAGGUGCUGUAGGCA
rnacentral:rRNA from 1 species